rnacentral:rRNA from 1 species
AUUGAACGCUGGCGGCAGGCCUAACACAUGCAAGUCGAACGAGUGGCGGACGGGUGAGUAAUGUCUGGGAAACUGCCUGAUGGAGGGGUAUAACUACUGGAAACAGUAGCUAAUACCGCAAACCAUCGGAUGUGCCCAGAGGGGAUUAGCUAGUAGGUGGGGUAACGGCUAACCUAGGCGUCGAUCCCUAGCUGGUCUGAGAGGAUGACCGGCCACACUGGAACGGAGACACGGUCCAGACUCCUACGGGAGGCAGCAGUGGGGAAGAUUGCACAAUGGGCGAAAGCCUGAUGCAGCCAUGCCGCGUGUGUGAAGAAGGCCUUCGGGUUGUAAAGUACUUUGAGCGGGGAGGCGGUACUCGCAGAAGAAGCACCGGCUAACUCCGUGCCAGCAGCCGCGGUAAUAC